rnacentral:rRNA from 1 species
UCUACGGGGGGCUGCAGUGGGGAAUAUUGGACAAUGGGCGAAAGCCUGAUCCAGCCAUGCCGCGUGUGUGAAGAAGGCCUUCGGGUUGUAAAGCACUUUCAGUGGGGAAGAAAGCCUUGGGGCUAAUACCCUCGAGGAAGGACAUCACCCACAGAAGAAGCACCGGCUAACUCCGUGCCAGCAGCCGCGGUAAUACGGAGGGUGCGAGCGUUAAUCGGAAUUACUGGGCGUAAAGCGCGCGUAGGCGGUCUGAUAAGCCGGUUGUGAAAGCCCCGGGCUCAACCUGGGAACGGCAUCCGGAACUGUCAGGCUAGAGUGCAGGAGAGGAAGGUAGAAUUCCCGGUGUAGCGGUGAAAUGCGUAGAGAUCGGGAGGAAUACCAGUGGCGAAGGCGGCCUUCUGGACUGACACUGACGCUGAGGUGCGAAAGCGUGGGUAGCAAACAGGAUUAGAUACCCUGUAGUC